rnacentral:rRNA from 1 species
UACAGAGGUCUCGAGCGUUAGGCGGAAUCACUGGGCUUAAAGCGUGUGUAGGCGGAUUGCUAAGUACCUUGUGAAAGCCCACGGCUCAACCGUGGAGGGUCAUUGGAAACUGGGAAACUUGAGUGCAGAAGAGAAGAGUGGAAUUCCACGUGUAGCGGUGAAAUGCGUAGAGAUGUGGAGGAACACCAGUGGCGAAGGCGACUCUUUGGUCUGUAACUGACGCUGAGGCGCGAAAGCGUGGGGAGCAAACAGG